rnacentral:sRNA from 1 species
AGCAGCCGCGGUAAUUCCAGCUCCAAUAGCGUAUAUUAAAGUUGUUGCAGUUAAAAAAGCUCGUAGUUGAAUUUCGGGAUCAGUGCGCUGGUCGUGCCUUCGGUAUGUACUGGUGUUACUGGUUCCUACCUUCUGACGAACCGUCAUGUCAUUAAUUUGGUGUGGCGGGGAAUCAGGACUGUUACUUUGAAAAAAUUAGAGUGUUUAAAGCAGGCUCGCGCUUGAAUACAUUAGCAUGGAAUAAUGAAAUAGGACGUUCGAUCCUAUUUUGUUGGUUUCUAGGAUUGACGUAAUGAUUAAUAGGGAUAGUUGGGGGCAUUAGUAUUCAAUUGUCAGAGGUGAAAUUCUUGGAUUUAUUGAAGACUAACUACUGCGAAAGCAUUUGCCAAGGAUGUUUUCAUUAAUCAAGAACGAAAGUUAGGGGAUCGAAGACGAUCAGAUACCGUCGUAGUCUUAACCAUAAACUAUGCCGACUAGGGAUCGGAUGAUGUUAUUUUUUAAUGA